CCUGCCCUCAAGGAGCUUACACAGAAGCAACCUCACAAGAAGCACCUGCCAGGGAGCCAUAAGGACCUGGGUUCUAAUUCUAGCUCUGCCAACUGCUCGCUGUGUGACCCUGGGCAAGUCACUUAACUUCUCUGUGACUCAGUUUCCUCAAGUGUAAAAGGGUCCCACCUGUUCUCCCUCCUGCUGAGACUGUGCACCUCAUGUGGGGCAAGGACUGUGUCUAACCUAAUUAACUUGUUCCUACCGCAGAGCUUUGAACUUAACACUUAAAAAAAAAUUUUUUUAAAGAUACGACUGGUGACACAGAGAGAUGAAGGAAAAUAUCCUUCAAACCUGAAGCUAUUUCUAGUCUUUCAGUUCUGUUUGAAUAAUUCCACCCUUCCAAGUUCCAGAAAUUUGGGGAUGGGCAUUCCUGUUCAUUUACUUUGAACUUGGCCUGCAACUGGGGAGUCCUGAGGUGUUUCGGCCCUACCACUGUUCUAACCUGUCACUUUGACAAACCACCAAACCACCCGAUGACAUUGAGCCACUGAAGAAGCCGGGGAGGUGGAGAUGAUUCCACAGCUCAGAUAGCAUUUAACUGAGCAGAAGCUUCAAAGAUUUUUUUUUUUUUAAAAUGGUAUUUGUUAAGUAUUUACCCACGCACGUCACUCCCCUUAACUGCCAACCUACUCAAUGUACUUCCAUCUCGUCUCUCUCACCGCCGACCUCUCGCCCACGUCCUACCUCCGGUCUGGAACACCUCUCUUCAUAACCGAUAGACAAUUUCUCUCCCAUCCUUCAAAACCUUACUGAAGGCACAUCUCCUUCAAGAAGCCUUCCCUGAAUAAGCCCUUAUUUCCUUUUCUCCCACUCCCUUCUGCAUCACCUAGACCUACUUCCUUUAUUCACCAGUCCCACAUAGCACUUAUGUACAUAUCUGUAAUUUAUUUAUUUAUAUUAAUUUCUGUCUCCCCGCCAGACUGUAAUCUCGUUGCGAGCAGGGAACGUGCUUGUUAUAUUGUACUUUCCCAAGUGCUUAGUACACAGUAAAUGCUCAAUGACUACAAUUGACUGAUUGAUUGAUAUUUAUAGGGUUCCUUCACUUUAUCUCUU
rnacentral:lncRNA from 1 species